UACCUGCAGCCCGAGUGGUGGCCGUUAUUAUUGGGCCUAAAACGUCCGUAGCCGGUUGGGUAGAUGCCUGUGUAAAUCGAACGGCUUAACCGUUCGAAUUGCGGGUAGACCGCCCGACUUGGGACCGGGGAGAGUCACGAAAGUACUCCGGGGGGUAGAGGUGAAAUUCUGUAAUCCUCGGGGGGACUACCGGGUGGCGAAGGC
rnacentral:rRNA from 1 species